rnacentral:rRNA from 1 species
AUUGAACGCUGGCGGCAGGCCUAACACAUGCAAGUCGAACGAGUGGCGGACGGGUGAGUAAUGUCUGGGAAACUGCCUGAUGGAGGGGGAUAACUACCGGAAACGGUAGCUAAUACCGCAUACCAUCAGCUCUGCCCAGAUGGGAUGAGCUAGUUGGUGGGGUAACGGCUCACCAAGGCGACGAUCCCUAGCUGGUCUGAGAGGAUGACAUGCCACAAUGGGACUGAGACACGGCCCAGGCUAAUACGGGAGGCAGCAGUGGGGAAUAUUGCACAAUGGGCGCAAGCCUGAUGCAGCCAUGCCGCGUGUAUGAAGAAGGCCUUAGGGUUGUAAAGUACUUUCGGCAGGGAAGCGUUACCCGCAGAAGAAGCACCGGCUAAAUCCGUGACAGCAGCCGCGGUAAUUC